UGCAGUCGAGCGGUAGAGAGAAGCUUGCUUCUCUUGAGAGCGGCGGACGGGUGAGUAAUGCCUAGGAAUCUGCCUGGUAGUGGGGGAUAACGUCCGGAAACGGACGCUAAUACCGCAUACGUCCUACGGGAGAAAGCAGGGGACCUUCGGGCCUUGCGCUAUCAGAUGAGCCUAGGUCGGAUUAGCUAGUUGGUGGGGUAAUGGCUCACCAAGGCGACGAUCCGUAACUGGUCUGAGAGGAUGAUCAGUCACACUGGAACUGAGACACGGUCCAGACUCCUACGGGAGGCAGCAGUGGGGAAUAUUGGACAAUGGGCGAAAGCCUGAUCCAGCCAUGCCGCGUGUGUGAAGAAGGUCUUCGGAUUGUAAAGCACUUUAAGUUGGGAGGAAGGGCAGUAAAUUAAUACUUUGCUGUUUUGACGUUACCGACAGAAUAAGCACCGGCUAACUCUGUGCCAGCAGCCGCGGUAAUACAGAGGGUGCAAGCGUUAAUCGGAAUUACUGGGCGUAAAGCGCGCGUAGGUGGUUCGUUAAGUUGGAUGUGAAAUCCCCGGGCUCAACCUGGGAACUGCAUUCAAAACUGACGAGCUAGAGUAUGGUAGAGGGGUGGUGGAAUUUCCUGUGUAGCGGUGAAAUGCGUAGAUAUAGGAAGGAACACCAGUGGCGAAGGCGACCACCUGGACUGAUACUGACACUGAGGUGCGAAAGCGUGGGGAGCAAAC
rnacentral:rRNA from 1 species